CCUACGGGAGGCAGCAGUGAGGAAUAUUGGUCAAUGGGCGGAAGCCUGAACCAGCCAAGUCGCGUGAGGGAUUAAGGCCCUGCGGGUCGUAAACCUCUUUUGCCGGGGAGCAAAGGUCCGCACGUGUCCGUGCCGGGGGAGUACCCGGAGAAAAACCAUCGGCGAACCCGGUGCAAGAAGCCGCGGUAAUACGGAGGAUGCGAGCGUUAGCCGUAUUUAUUGGGUUUAAAGGGUGCGUAGGCGGGCAUUUAAGCCGGCGGUAAAAUGUCGGGGCUCAACCCCGGCCAGCCGUCGGAACUGGGUGCCUUGAGUGGGCGAGAGGUAUGCGGAAUGCGUGGUGUAGCGGUGAAAUGCAUAGAUAUCACGCAGAACCCCGAUUGCGAAGGCAGCAUACCGGCGCCCUACUGACGCUGAGGCACGAAAGUGCGGGUAUCGAACAGGAUUAGAUACCCUUGUAGUC
rnacentral:rRNA from 1 species